AGCUUGGUCUGUUGUGAG
rnacentral:misc_RNA from 1 species